UGAUUAGACCUAUCCUAAAUAGCUAAAAAUUUAUUUAAAUGAUAUUUGUUAAAAAUAUUAAAGUUUUUGCGGGCUAGUAGUUUAAACGAAAGUCAUAGAGAAAACGAAAGUACUGUAAAGGAAAAUAUUAAAUAUAUAUGAUAGUAUAAAUUAAUUUUAGUACCUUUUGCAUUAUGGUUUAACGAGAAAUAAGCUUGUUUUAAUGUUUUCUAGAAAGAAGAAGAGUUAUAUUCAGACGAAUGAGUAGUGUAGCAUAACUAUUUUUAGAUCUGUUUAUGGUAGUGAAACGCUAACGGAUUUUCUGAUAGCUAGUUGGAAGAGAAAAGCAUUUGAGUGCGAUUUAUAAAUGAAAAAUAAAGUGUGAUUUAGCUUGAUUUUUAUUUGUAAGUUUUUGUUUUUUAGGUUGAGCUAAAAAAUUGAUGAAAAUUUAUGGUUAAAUUUAAUGUAAUGUAGGUUUAAUAGUUUCUAUCAUUUUUACGGUUUUAUAACGAAGUUUUAUUAGGAUUGUAUGAUUAAAAUUUUCUGUUUAUAUUUUCCCUUAAUUUGUAAUUAUGUUGAAUUUAAUAUUUAUGUUGAAAUUAGUAUUGGUUUAUUUCUUGCUUGAUGGUUUUGAACUUAAAGCUGAAACUUUUUAUAUAUAUUGAAAUGAGAAAAAGGAACUCGGCAAAUAUGAAUUUCGCCUGUUUAUCAAAAACAUCGCUCUUUGUAAAUAUAAAAUAAGGAGUCGUACCUGCCCGGUGAAAAAUUUAACGGCCGCAGUACCCUGACUGUGCAAAGGUAGCAUAAUCAUUUGCCUUUUAAUUGAAGGCUGGAAUGAAUGGUUUGACGAAAUUCUUCUGUCUCUAUCUUAUUAAAUAGAAUUUAAUUUUUAGGUGAAGAAGCCUGAAUGAAGUCAAAAGACGAAAAGACCCUGUCGAACUUUAGAGUAAUUAUAAAAUUAUAUGCUUUUUAGAAUAAAUGUUUUUUAGAAUUUCUCUUUUGUUGGGGUGACAGAAGAACAGAUAAAGCUUCUUUUAGUUGAGGAAACUUAUAUGUUGAAAAGAUCCAUAAAAAUUUAUGAUAGUAAGAUAAGUUACCGCAGGGAUAACAGCGUUAUUUUUCUGGAGAGUUCAAAUUGAAGGAAAAGAUUGCGACCUCGAUGUUGGAUUGGAAUACCUAAUAGGCGGAGAAGCUUGUUGUUGGGGGUCUGUUCGACCUUUAAAUUUCCACAUGAUCUGAGUUCAAACCGGUGUAAGCCAGGUUGGUUUCUAUCUUUGAUAAAAUAUUAUUGGUUUUAGUACGAAAGGAUUAAGCUGAUAAAAAUUUUUUAUAGAU